rnacentral:lncRNA from 1 species
GGAUGCCCUCAUCGAUACCAUCAAGAGGUCCAAGAUGCAUUUCGUGCACUGCUUCCUUCCUGUGGCCGAGGGCUGGCCUGGGGAGCCCCGAUCUGCUUCUUCUCGCCGAGUUAGUAGCAGCAGUGAGCUGGACCUGCCUCCGGGAGACCCCUGCGAGGCUGGGCUGCUACAACUGGAUGUGUCCCUGCUCCGUGCCCAGCUUCGGGGAUCCCGCCUGCUUGAUGCAAUACGCAUGUACCGCCAAGGUUACCCAGACCACAUGGUGUUUUCUGAGUUCCGUAGGCGCUUUGAUGUCCUGGCCCCACACCUGACCAAGAAACAUGGGCGUAACUACAUCAUGGUGGAUGAGAAGCGGGCUGUGGAGGAGCUGCUGGAGUCCCUAGACCUGGAAAAGAGCAGCUGCUGCAUGGGCCUGAGUCGGGUAUUCUUCCGGGCAGGCACGUUGGCACGGCUGGAAGAGCAACGAGACGAGGAAACCAGCAGACACCUGACCCUGUUCCAGGCAGCCUGCAGGGGCUACCUUGCCCGCCAGCACUUCAAGAAGAGAAAGAUCCAGGACCUGGCCAUUCGCUGUGUGCAGAAGAACAUCAAGAAGAACAAGGGGGUGAAGGACUGGCCCUGGUGGAAGCUCUUCACCACUGUGCGGCCCCUCAUCCAAGUUCAGCUGUCUGAGGAGCAGAUCCGAAACAAAGACGAGGAGAUCCAGCAGCUGCGAAACAAGCUUGAGAAGGUGGAGAAAGAGAGGAAUGAGCUUCGGCUCAACAGUGACCGGCUGGAGACCCGGAUCUCAGAGCUGACAUCGGAGCUGACUGAUGAACGCAACACAGGAGAGUCCGCCUCCCAGCUGCUGGACGCGGAGACAGCCGAGAGGCUCCGGACCGAGAAGGAAAUGAAAGAGCUACAGACCCAGUACGAUGCCCUGAAGAAGCAGAUGGAGGCGAUGGACAUGGAAGUGAUGGAGGCCCGGCUCAUUCGGGCAGCCGAGAUCAACGGGGAGGUGGAUGACGAUGACGCAGGGGGAGAGUGGCGGCUGAAGUACGAGCGAGCUGUUCGGGAGGUGGACUUCACCAAGAAGCGGCUUCAGCAGGAGCUGGAAGACAAGAUGGAGGUGGAGCAGCAGAACAGGAGGCAGCUGGAGAGGCGGCUUGGGGACCUGCAAGCAGAUAGUGACGAGAGUCAGCGGGCACUGCAGCAGCUCAAGAAAAAGUGCCAACGGCUCACAGCUGAGCUGCAGGACACCAAGCUGCACCUGGAGGGCCAGCAGGUCCGAAACCAUGAGCUGGAAAAGAAGCAGAGGAGGUUUGACAGUGAGCUCUCCCAGGCACAUGAGGAGACCCAGCGGGAGAAGCUGCAGAGGGAGAAGCUUCAGCGGGAGAAGGACAUGCUCCUAGCUGAGGCCUUCAGCCUGAAGCAGCAGAUGGAGGAAAAAGACUUGGAUAUCGCAGGGUUUACCCAGAAGGUUGUUUCCUUGGAGGCCGAGCUUCAGGACAUUUCUUCUCAAGAGUCUAAGGAUGAGGCUUCUCUGGCCAAGGUCAAGAAGCAGCUCCGGGACUUGGAGGCCAAGGUCAAGGAUCAGGAAGAGGAGCUGGAUGAACAGGCUGGGAGCAUACAGAUGCUGGAGCAGGCCAAGCUGCGUCUGGAGAUGGAGAUGGAGCGGAUGAGACAGACCCAUUCCAAGGAGAUGGAGAGCCGGGAUGAGGAGGUGGAAGAGGCCCGGCAGUCAUGUCAGAAGAAGCUAAGGCAGAUGGAAGUUCAGCUGGAGGAGGAGUAUGAAGACAAGCAGAAGGCGCUGCGGGAGAAACGGGAGCUGGAGAGCAAGCUCUCCACGCUCAGUGACCAGGUGAACCAGCGGGACUUUGAAUCAGAGAAGCGGCUACGGAAAGACCUGAAGCGCACCAAAGCGCUGCUGGCAGAUGCUCAGAUCAUGCUGGACCACUUAAAGAACAAUGCCCCCAGCAAGAGGGAGAUUGCCCAGCUGAAGAACCAGCUGGAAGAGUCGGAAUUCACCUGUGCAGCAGCUGUGAAGGCACGGAAAGCAAUGGAGGUGGAGAUGGAAGACCUGCACCUGCAGAUCGAUGACAUCGCCAAAGCCAAGACAGCGCUGGAGGAGCAACUGAGUCGCCUUCAGCGUGAGAAAAAUGAGAUUCAGAACCGGCUGGAAGAGGACCAGGAGGACAUGAAUGAGCUGAUGAAGAAGCACAAGGCGGCCGUGGCUCAGGCCUCCCGGGACAUGGCACAGAUGAAUGAUCUCCAAGCUCAGCUCGAAGAGUCCAACAAGGAGAAGCAGGAGCUACAGGAGAAGCUACAAGCUCUGCAGAGCCAGGUGGAGUUCCUAGAGCAGUCCAUGGUGGACAAGUCCCUUGUCAGCAGGCAGGAAGCGAAGAUCAGGGAGCUGGAGACACGCCUGGAGUUCGAAAAGACCCAAGUGAAACGUCUGGAGAGCAUGGCCAGUCGGCUCAAAGAAAACAUGGAGAAGCUGACUGAGGAACGGGACCAGCGCGCUGCAGCUGAGAACCGUGAGAAGGAGCAGAACAAGAGGCUCCAGCGACAGCUCCGUGACACCAAGGAGGAGAUGAGCGAGCUUGCCAGGAAGGAAGCUGAGGCUAGUCGCAAGAAGCACGAACUGGAGAUGGACUUGGAGAGUCUGGAAGCCGCUAACCAAAGCCUGCAAGCUGACCUAAAGCUGGCGUUCAAACGCAUUGGGGACUUGCAAGCCGCCAUUGAGGAUGAGAUGGAGAGUGAUGAGAAUGAGGACCUUAUCAACAGUUUGCAGGAUAUGGUGACAAAAUAUCAGAAAAGAAAGAAUAAACUUGAGGGCGACUCAGACGUGGACUCAGAGCUGGAGGACCGGGUCGACGGUGUCAAGUCCUGGUUGUCAAAGAACAAGGGACCCUCUAAGGCACCUUCCGACGAUGGCAGCUUAAAGAGUUCCAGCCCAACCAGCCACUGGAAGUCCCUCGCCCCCGACCUGUCGGAUGAUGAGCACGAUCCUGUGGACAGCAUCUCCAGACCCCGGUUCUCCCACAACUAUCUGAGUGACAGUGACACAGAGGCCAAGCUGACAGAGACCAACGCAUAGCCUUGGAAGUGGCUCAGCCCUCCCACCCCACAGCCUCUCCCAGGAAAUAGAGGGGUACCACUGCCCCCACUUGACAGCCGAUCUGCAUGGAAAACACCUCGGCUUUCUGCCGGGAACUUCCCAGGCUGUGGGUGUCUGACGGCUCCACGUGGAAGAGGUGGGGAAGCAGAGUCUGUCAGGAGAGUCUCCACUCUUGCCUCAGAUGCCGUGCUCUUAGCUCCCAUCCAGGGCCACUAAGGACCAUGUUUGGUGGCCUGGCACUUCAUGGAGCCCGUAGUGGACCUCCAUCUCAGCCUCCUGCUCAGGGAUGGUGGAUAGGUUACCUGCUGGACCGCUCCAAGUGGCUGGGCCCAUGGGAAAGAGUCAGGAGGGAGCUGCAGUGCCUCCCCUCUGCUGGGGCCAGGGCUUUCUCUUCUCAGUGCCUGCUGUCUUUUUACUGUUUAAUUUAAAUACCCAAACCUCCAUGCAGCUGCAUCCCUGAGAGUAGGAGGGGCCAUGGUUGCAGCUGGGCCCUGUGGGAUGCCUUGGGAAUCUCCUCUCCAUCUCCGCUUCUCCAGAGGCUCUUUCUCGUGAAGCCUGCUGCCAGCGGACACUGGUGAGCAGAGCUGGGGCCCUGGUUCCUACAAGGCAGGGUGGGGAGGAUGGCAGCUGGGUGCUUCUGGCUUGGACCGAGCAAGCCUUGUUGGAGUAUGAAGUGCAAUGAGCAGUUAUUUAAGAGCUGAUCUCUUCCACCUGCACCCACCCGUGGCUUCCAGCACUGCCUUCCUCUGACCAUGUUAUCGCUGGCCGCUCAUUCAGCACCGAGGACUUGUGGUGGGCACAGUGGAAGGUAGAUGUUUUGGUCUGUUUAUCAGACUAGAGUCCUAACCCUCCGUCAUCAUUCUUCUGCCCAUAACCCUGUUCCCAGACACAACAGCAAGUGGUCUGGACGUCUCAGCCACUUACCAUAAAGGCCAUCCCGACCAUCCCACCGGAUUUGGGGGCCCAAAGGCAGUACCUGGUGCUGGACCCUUUUACCAUCCCCUUCUCUUCUGCAGUUGCUUUGUACUCAUCGGGCUGUGCUCUCCCUGUGGACCUGAUUGAUAUAGGAAAUAAAAGGCCCCUUCCUUCCUGGCCACGUU